rnacentral:rRNA from 1 species
UACGUAGGGUGCGAGCGUUGUCCGGAAUUAUUGGGCGUAAAGAGCUUGUAGGCGGUUUGUCGCGUCUGCUGUGAAAACGCGAGGCUCAACCUCGCGCCUGCAGUGGGUACGGGCAGACUGGAGUGCGGUAGGGGAGAUUGGAAUUCCUGGUGUAGCGGUGGAAUGCGCAGAUAUCGGGAAGAACACCCAUGGCGAAGGCAGCUCUCUGGGACGGUACUGACGCUGAGACGCGAAAGCGUGGGGAGCGAACAGG